UACGAAGGGGGCUAGCGUUGCUCGGAAUCACUGGGCGUAAAGGGUGCGUAGUCGGGUCUUUAAGUCAGGGGUGAAAUCCUGGAGCUCAACUCCAGAACUGCCUUUGAUACUGAAGAUCUUGAGUUCGGGAGAGGUGAGUGGAACUGCGAGUGUAGAGGUGAAAUUCGUAGAUAUUCGCAAGAACACCAGUGGCGAAGGCGGCUCACUGGCCCGAUACUGACGCUGAGGCACGAAAGCGUGGGGAGCAAACAGG
rnacentral:rRNA from 1 species